CACGAGAAGCUGAUACCACAUCAAGAAGUAACAUGUAGCUGGUUGACAGUCUCAGCAUCCCUGUUAAGCCCAUCUUCAGCCAUCCUAGCCAAGGGGCUAGAAUGGAUUUUACAAACCAGCUGACAUCACGUUGGUAGCUGGAAAUUGGCCAACAUUCAAGCAUUUACACCAUGGAAAUAAGCAAAUGAUAGAAAUCAGAGCUAUGAUCAGCAUGUCACUGACCUCCUUCAAAGAUGACCUCCACAAAAUCAUUUGGAUGAGACUGAAAACAAUAAUUGAAGAGCCUAGACACAAAUAUUUGAUUUUCUAAGAUUUUACAAUGUUUACAAAAUCUGCCAUCUAGUAGCAACACCCUGCGAUGCUGAAACAUUUCUGUUUGCUUCUCUAGUUGAUUUUGAAGAAUUAUGAUGCAAAUGUGCGGUUGGCAGAUAUUUUGUAUUCUUCUCAAGCUCUUCCUUAUGCUCUGAGAGAGAGAAGGCUGUGCUCCUUAAUUUGGGUUCCCUGUUCUUCCAGCAGGUGUGGAUUUGCCGCUGCCAGAGACUGAGCUGAUGUGCAGCAUGAGUUCCUCCUGGAGACAUAUAUGGUCUGCCUUCAGCUGGAGUGCCGUGAAUUUACUGUGUGCUUUAGGGCCAGCUUUUCUAAUUCUGCAGAUUUAAAUUUUAUUUUAGGGUUCUCUCUCUCUCUCCCCACCCCCUUUCUGUGUGUGUGUGUGUGUGUGUGUGUGUGUGUCUGUCUGUCUGUCUCUCUCUCUCUCGAUUUAGUUAAGGAGUAAACUCUUUUUCUCUUUGGUAUAACUUGACAUCUCAGUUUCUGGAACAUCCAGAGAGACCGAAGUAAUAGGUCAAAAGCAGUCAGGUGCUGGUGCCUUCAGGGCCUCCUCAGAAGAGCCAGCAGGGGAGCAGGGAACCCAGAAGCAGCCCUAACCUGGAAUUAUCCUCUAGAACUGCCUUUGGAUCAUCUGAGGUGCACUGGAGUGAGAAGACACCAUUAUGCAGUUCCAGUCUACACAGACUAAUAGAAGUGAGAAACACAUGCUGGGGGCAAAU